GGGCCAUUAGCUUAGCCUGGUAGAGCACCUGACUCUUAAUCAGGGUGUCGAAGGUUCAAAUCCUUCAUGGCCCACCA
rnacentral:tRNA from 1 species